UUGCUUUGGUAGCACAUAUACUACAAUUGGGAUGAUACAGAGAAGAUUAGCAUGGCCCCUGCACAAGGAUGACACUCAACUUUGUGAAGCAUUCCAUAUUUUA
rnacentral:snRNA from 1 species